rnacentral:rRNA from 1 species
UAGUCCACGCCCUAAACGAUGCUAACUCGAUAUUUGGAUCUUGAAUCUGAGUGUCUAAGCGAAAGUGAUAAGUAACCCACCUGGGGAGUACGUUCGCAAGAAUGAAACUCAAAGGAAUUGACGGGGGCCCGCACAAGCGGUGGAGCAUGUGGUUUAAUUCGAUGAUACGCGAGGAACCUUACCAGGGCUUAAAUGUAAGUUGCAUUAGUUAGAGAUAGCUAUUUCUUCGGACUACUUACAAGGUGCUGCAUGGUUGUCGUCAGCUCGUGCCGUGAGGUGUCAGGUUAAGUCCUAUAACGAGCGCAACCCCUACCGUUAGUUGCUAGCAGGUCAUGCUGAGGACUCUAACGGGACUGCCGGUGCAAACCGUGAGGAAGGUGGGGAUGACGUCAAAUCAUCACGGCCCUUACGUCCUGGGCUACACACGUGCUACAAUGGUAUAUACAGAGGGCAGCUACCUAGUGAUAGGAUGCGAAUCUUGAAAGUAUAUCUCAGUUCGGAUC